GCCGCGGUAAUACGUAGGUGGCAAGCGUUGUCCGGAUUUACUGGGUGUAAAGGGCGUGCAGCCGGAGAGACAAGUCAGAUGUGAAAUCCACGGGCUCAACCCGUGAACUGCAUUUGAAACUGUUUCCCUUGAGUGUUGGAGAGGAAAGCGGAAUUCCUAGUGUAGCGGUGAAAUGCGUAGAUAUUAGGAGGAACACCAGUGGCGAAGGCGGCUUUCUGGACAAUAACUGACGUUGAGGCACGAAAGUGUGGGGAGCAAACAGG
rnacentral:rRNA from 1 species